CGUCGCCCGCUCCACGGAGGUCAAGGCUUCCAUGGCUGAGCGAUUUAUCAAUCUGGUCGUGCCGCUGCCCCACAAGGGCACCGCCAUGCGCAAUGAGGAUACCGGCCGCCAGUGUGCGGAGAGGUCCAGCGCCGUUUCUCCGCUGAUCGGCGAUGGCCUUCAGCAGAGCGACGUAGAUAGCACGAUACUUCC
rnacentral:ncRNA from 1 species